rnacentral:rRNA from 1 species
CCUACGUGUGGCAGCAGUAGGGAAUCUUCCACAAUGGACGAAAGUCUGAUGGAGCAACGCCGCGUGAGUGAAGAAGGGUUUCGGCUCGUAAAGCUCUGUUGGUAGUGAAGAAAGAUAGAGGUAGUAACUUGCCUUUAUUUUACGGUAAUUACUUAGAAAGUCACGGCUAACUACGUGCCAGCAGCCGCGGUAAUACGUAGGUGGCAAGCGUUGUCCGGAUUUGUUGGGCGUAAGGCGAGUGCAGGCGGUUCAAUAAGUCUGAUGUGAAAGCCUUCGGCUCAACCGGAGAAUUGCAUCCGAAACUGUUGGACUUGAGUGCAGAAGAGGAGAGUGGAACUCCAUGUGUAGCGGUGAAAUGCGUAGAUAUAUGGAAGAACACCAGUGGCGAAGGCGGCUCUCGGGUCUGCAACUGACGCUGAGGCUCGAAAGCAUGGGUAGCGAACAGGAUUAGAUACCCGAGUAGUC